GUGCUCACUUUGUCAGCACAUACACUAAAUUUGGAAGGAUACAAAGAUUAGCAUGGCCCCUGCACAAGGAUGACAUGCAAAUUUGAGAAGCAUUCCUUAUUUUU
rnacentral:snRNA from 1 species